AAAGUGCCUCACAGACUGGGCCACCAGCCAAUCCGACCGAGACGGUUCUUCUCUUCCCAGCCUCUGCUUCUUUACAUCAUUGUUCCUGCUGGGGACUGGGCAGGUCAUAUGCUUUGGACCUUGAAACUCAAGAGAGCAUUGGAGGAGUCCCAGCAGCAUGUUCCUGCCACUAUGGACUUUGCCGUGCCUUCCUG